AUUGAACGCUGGCGGCAUGCUUUACACAUGCAAGUCGAACGGUAACAGGUUAAGCUGACGAGUGGCGAACGGGUGAGUAAUGCAUCGGAACGUGCCCGGUCGUGGGGGAUAACGCAGCGAAAGCUGCGCUAAUACCGCAUACGAUCUGAGGAUGAAAGCGGGGGACCGUAAGGCCUCGUGCGAUCGGAGCGGCCGAUGUCAGAUUAGGUAGUUGGUGGGGUAAAGGCUCACCAAGCCAACGAUCUGUAGCUGGUCUGAGAGGACGACCAGCCACACUGGGACUGAGACACGGCCCAGACUCCUACGGGAGGCAGCAGUGGGGAAUUUUGGACAAUGGGCGAAAGCCUGAUCCAGCAAUGCCGCGUGCAGGAAGAAGGCCUUCGGGUUGUAAACUGCUUUCGUACGGAGCGAAAAGGUCUCCUCUAAUACAGGGGGCUCAUGACGGUACCGUAAGAAUAAGCACCGGCUAACUACGUGCCAGCCGCCGCCGUAAAAC
rnacentral:rRNA from 1 species